rnacentral:lncRNA from 1 species
CAGAAUGUCGAGCCAAGGAGUUGUCGGAUCCGGGACGAAUGUAUUUGAUUGAAGGAGGGGGUUCAUCUCGAACAUAUUUGGCACAACGAUUCCCAAAUAAUGACCCAACUGGUUGAUUCCAUGGAUUUUGACAAGGUCACCUGAUGCAACUGCUGCUUCAGUAGUAGUUGUGUUAUUCCACAGUAGGAACAAAACAACCAAACAGAGAGUGGAAUUCUUCAUAUCUGCUUUGUUUCCUGAACAUAAUACAUAUGUACUUUAAUUUGGUUUCUUUGUGAAUGGAUUCAGGAUGAGGAUAGUUUAAGAAAUUAUGUGAUGCAGUGAAAGAGAGCAUGCAAUAGGUUACGUGGAGGAUAAGGAGAGAAUAGCUGUCCACAAGCAGCAGAAGAAUGGUCAGAAUUGGGUAUUUUUGGGGGUUUGGUUUGGUUUGUGAUCUUAAGGCUUUAGCCUGUCG